CAGUCGCCACGGUAAUACGAAAGGGGCUAGCGUUGUUCGGAAUUACUGGGCGUAAAGCGCACGUAGGCGGCUUGGUAAGUUAGAGGUGAAAGCCCGGAGCUCAACUCCGGAAUUGCCUUUAAGACUGCCGAGCUAGUAGGUGAGAGAGGUAAGUGGAAUUCCGAGUGUAGAGGUGAAAUUCGUAGAUAUUCGGAAGAACACCAGUGGCGAAGGCGGCUUACUGGCUCAUUCUAGACGCUGAGGUGCGAAAGCGUGGGGAGCAAACAGGAUUAGAUACCCCAGUAGUCCCUGUCUCUUAUAC
rnacentral:rRNA from 1 species